GCGCUGUGUCCCCCCCGCCGCCCCCGCGCCCCCCUCAUGCAGCGCCGCGACGACCCCGCGGGCCGCCCGUCCCGGGGGAAAAGCCUCGCUGGCCGCGCCGUGCCGUCGCGCCGCCAGUGCCUCUGCACAGGGGCCCGCGGGGCCGCCAGCGGGGCCGCCAGCGGGGCCACCAGCGGGGCCGCCAGUGGGGCGCGGCCGCCUCCCCCCGCGGCCGGCGGCGGCGGUGCCUCGGGGGGCUCUGGCGGCGGCGCGCCCGCCCCGCCGCCGUCCGGAGCCGCCGGGAAGAUGGAACCCGAGAACAGGUACCUGCCCGAGCUGAUGGCGGAGAAGGACAGCCUGGACCCGUCCUUCACGCACGCCAUGCAGCUCCUCACCGCAGAAAUUGAAAAAAUUCAGAAGGGUGAAACAACAAAGAAGGAGGAGGAAGAAAACUACCUGGAUUUAUUUUCCCACAAGAAUAUGAAACUGAAAGAACGAGUUCUGAUACCUGUCAAACAGUACCCCAAGUUCAACUUUGUUGGAAAGAUUUUGGGACCUCAAGGCAACACCAUUAAGAGACUUCAGGAAGAAACUGGUGCUAAGAUUUCUGUGCUGGGGAAGGGCUCAAUGAGAGACAAAGCCAGGGAGGAGGAGCUGCGCAAGGGGGGAGACCCGAAAUAUGCUCAUCUAAACAUGGAUUUGCACGUCUUCAUCGAGGUUUUUGGGCCCCCCUGCGAGGCCUAUGCCCUGAUGGCUCAUGCCAUGGAGGAGGUCAAGAAAUUCCUUGUUCCAGAUAUGAUGGAUGAUAUCUGCCAGGAGCAGUUCCUGGAGCUGUCCUACCUGAACGGUGUCCCAGAGCCGAACCGCGGCCGAGGAGGCCCCGGGCGGGGAAGGGGAGCAGCUCCACCACCACCUCCACCCGUUCCAAGGGGCCGUGGGGUUGGUCCCCCUCCUCCUCCUCCUCGGGGGGCCCUGGUGCGAGGGGCCCCAGUGCGGGGGGGCAUCGCUCGGGGGGCCACCAUAGCCCGGGGGGUGCCCCCUCCUCCGGCAGUCCGGGGGGCUCCUGCCCCCCGAGCACGGGCAGCUGGCAUCCAGAGGAUACCCCUUCCUCCUCCUCCUGCGCCAGAAGCCUACGAGGAAUAUGGCUACGACGACACGUACGCAGACCAGAGCUACGAGGGCUAUGAGGGCUACUACAGCCAGGGCCAAGGGGACACAGAAUACUAUGAUUAUGGACACGGGGAGGCACAGGAAACCUAUGAAGCUUAUGCCAGGUCCUAUGUCCAGGUUUGGAAUGGCAGCUGCACGUGGCAAUCAAUGAGGCAAGAUGACUGGAAUGGGAGCCGGCCCUCCCUGAAGGCCCCGCCGGCCAGGCCAGUGAAGGGGGCCUACCGAGACCACCCCUACGGACGCUACUAAAAAACACAAAACAUGAGGGAAAAACCCCACUUUUGAGCAAAACAGUUGUUACUGAUUCUUGUAUCUCCCGGGAUUCCCGUUGCUUUGCCCACACCAGACAAGAGCGGAGAGUUCUCGGAGCCGGGGGGUGAGGAGGAGCAGGGGCAGCGCCCACGGGGGAGGGAUGAGUCUCCAGGGAGCUGCUUUCAGAGCUGAUCAAGGAGCACAGUUAAGACACUUCCCUGGGAAAUAGGAACCUGCCAGAUCUUGGGGAGUGUUGGAGAACACUGGAGCCUCCCUUGGAUCCCACGAGAGCAGCAGCUGUGUGUUGGAACACUGAAAUAUAAAGUGUUUUCUGCUGAAGCUGUUACUUUUACCACUGAAUUUGGAACUAGGUAUGACCAAAAAGCUUCAAUACGUCGUGUUGUAGUUGCAAACCUGAUAUAUUUUAACCUGAAAAUGUUUUUAACCUGAUGUUGGUACGUCCUGUUACCUUUAUAGUUGUUCCUGGAAGACUCUGUUAAACCACAGAUGUCUGGAUACUCCUGGGUUUUGAUGGCUUUGCACAUUGAGGUUGGGAAGGACCUCCAAGACCAUCGAGUCCAACCUGUGACCACCUCGUCACCCAGCCCAGAGCACUGAGUGCCACGUCCAGUCAUUCCUUGGACAGCUCCAGGGAUGGGAACUGCACCACCUCCCUGGGCAGCCCCUUCCAAAGCCAGUAAAGAACUAAACCCUGGGCCUGUGGAAGUCCAUUAAUUUCAGAGAUUUUUGCCUCCAGCUGGUUCUCAGUGUUGUAAAAUGCUCCAUCUGUGCCGAAGCACCAACGCCCACAAGUGGAGGAGAUCAUUGAGAAAAAAAACGCUGUGAGCGGGUGAUAAAGAUGCUGAAAAAUGAUCAAGGUGAAUCACAGCACGAAAAUAGCUUGGAUGGGAGCCUGGUGAGCUCCUGCACCAAUAAGUUGGAUGGCAGCCUGGCAAGCUCCUCCACCGAGGAGCACUGGGCUUUCUGCUCCAGCUAUUCCACGAUCCUACAACUCUUGUGUUUGGAAGUGAUCCCUCAUUCCGUGUAAUAAAGUCCUGACGAUGAAUA